rfam:Oryza nivara chromosome 3, whole genome shotgun sequence.
AAAAAAGAAAACCGUGGGUUUCUGUGCCAAUGUUUGAUUGUCCGUCUUAUAUGAAAAUUUUUUAUAAUUAGUAUUUUUAUUGUUGUUAGAUGAUAAAACAUGAUUAAUACUUUAUGCGUGACUUAUUUUUUUAAUUUUUUUCAUAAUUUUUUUAAAUAAGACGGACGGUUAAACGUUGGAUAUGAAAACUAGGGUUUGUCUUUUU